rnacentral:lncRNA from 10 species
AAGCUGCGAAGAUGGCGGAGUAAGGCGUGCCGCUGCAAACUGGCCUCUGGGCCGGGGGCGAGCAGCCCCCGGGAGGCCGAGUGCAUCUGUUGGACCGUGCGAGGAGAAGAAAAAAAAUAUCGGCCAGAGGAGAGGAACUAACCGAACAUUCUUCCUCCCUACCUUAUAGAGGGGAGUGGUCAUCUACACUAAAGCAAAGUGUUAGGCGCGUCCGUGCGAAGAGACCACCAAACAGGCUUUGUGUUCCUUAUCACAGGAAGAAAAUUUUCCUUGACCUUUAGGUGCUUUUAUAUUCAUCUCAAAAACAAAAUUCUGAACUCAGGACUUGGCAAGAGGUGCAAGCGAAGAUGCAGUGCUACCUUAUUUUUCAUUUUUAUUUUUUGGAGACAGAGUCUCACUCUGUUGCCCAAGCUGAGUGCAGUGGUGCAAUCAUGGCUCACUGCAACCUCAACCUCCAGGGCUCAAGCGAUCCUCCUGCUUCAGCCUCCUCCAAAGUAGCUGGGACCACAAGAGGGCACCACCACGCCCUGCUAAUUUUUUAUUUUUUGUAGAGUGGGGUCUUGAUAUGUUGCCCAGGCUGGUCUCCAAUUCCUGGGCUCAAGGGAUCCCCCUGCCUCAGCCUCCCCAAAGUGCUGGGAUUACAGGUGUGAGCUGCUGCACCUGGCUCAGUGCUACUUUAAAACACAAAUGUGGCCGGGCCCAGUGGCUCACGCCUGUAAUCCCAAUACUUUGGGAGGCUGAGGCGAGUGGAUCACUUGAGGUGAGGAGUUUGAACCCAGCCUGGCCAACAUGGUGAAACCCCGUUUCUACUAAAAAUAC